rnacentral:misc_RNA from 1 species
GGAAGUAAAAGUCGUAACAAGGUUUCCGUAGGUGAACCUGCGGAAGGAUCAUUCAUAAUAAGUGUUUUAUGGCACUUUUUUAAAUCCAUAUCCACCUUGUGUGCAAUGUCAGGGUUGAUUUUUCUCUCGAGAGGAUCAACCCCAAACAUCAACUAUAUCUCAACUCUUUGUCUGAAAAAUAUUAUGAAUAAAACAAUUCAAAAUACAACUUUCAACAACGGAUCUCUUGGCUCUC